UUGGGAUGCUAGCUAGAGAGCACGGGUGUCGUCUAGCAAGAGGUGGCGGUUGGUCGAGAUACGUGAGCGCUAGGUGGGGAAGCGGGGGCGGCGCUGGCUAGGUAGGGACACUGCACCGUCUAGGAUUGGGGCCCCGAAGGAGGAGGCGGUGGUAGGAUAAGGGAAGCGAGGGUAGACAGCGGAGAUAGUUCUAGCCUCUGGAGGCUGAAGACCCGGCGACGGCGGCAACGGCGUCUUGGGGUCCUGUUCCGUCCCACACCAGCGCAACGCCCGUCACUCUUCGCCGCGUACCGGCACGGGACGUAGACCAAGGAGAUGCGAGGGGAGUUAGGGGAAGUAGCGGAGGUUGUAUGUUAGAGCGGCGGUACCCUAGCGGCGGCUCGGUUCGUAGUGGUACUACCGCCUUCCUUCUCGUUCUCCCCCAGUAGCUCCGACCCACGGCGGCACUCCUACGACCUCAGGUACGUGCCACUACCAUAACACCGCUUUCUUCCAGUAGAAGGACCCCUCGGUGCGCUACCGGCGGCAGAGGUGGGUGCCGGCACGGUUGUUCUGUCCUAUUUCCGUUCACAAGAUAAACACGUAACACUACCGUUAAAAGAACCUAUUGUCUGCUUCGCUAUAACCUCCUCAUGUGCCCACCCUACUGUCUACUAUUUGAACUAUGCCCACACAACAACUGACAGUAGGUUGGCUGCACGGAUCUGUCCGAUGUAUAACCGUACUACCUGAAGAUACCAUUUUCCUGUAAUACGUCGUACAUUUACACUGAAGAAGUAGAGACAACAGGAACUACUGUACAAAUAGAACGGACUAUCUCUCUUGCUGUCACUAAUAAAACAAGAAGGGAGCGAACAUAACGUCCCAAAAGCAUCCUUGUAUUAAGUCACAGGCGAUUACAUGACUUUUUUUUGUAUAAACAAGAAGAACGAACAGUGGUUCGUCCAUAAGAAUGCACCGAGGUUAGUUUAGUGGCUACAUACCUAAGUGAAUUUAGUGAACAUAAUAGACAUCCUCCGACAUUAAUUGGUAUAUUUCAAGAACGACUAAUAUUUUACAUACGAAGAAAAAUGAUGUUAUAUUUUGUACAUAAAAAGAGCCAAUAAACACCCCGUGGUAGAUGUUCACAUACAUUUGUACAAUUACUUGAGUUCAAUUAACUACACCUGAGUUCACAGGAGUAUCUUCCUUGAUUGAGAGGUUUAAUCCAUUUCUUGUACCGACCAGUAGACAAACGUUUUACAAACGUUUUAAACUCAACAACGUACGAUGAACGCACAUACUUUCUCAAUUACGUUAAGUGUUAUACAAUUAUGAGGUAAAAACUCAUGUCUAUUGGUAAAGUCCCCGUACGGAUUGGCACGGAUCCUGUUAUAGACUUUGAAUGAGUAUUAUACGGAUUGAUACACGGUUUGAUUAUACUAUUGUACAAGAUGAGUAUAUCAAAACAAAAAGUAAACCCGACACACCUAGGAUAUAAACUCCGAAAUUCAAAGUCGAUGCAUGUUUUAUUGUGAUUAAAAAAGAAAUAUAAAACAAUUAAACGGAAAGAUACUAAAGAAUUAUCAACAACUCUUAAGAAAGAAUGUGUGAAGUGUGAAAAGUCCCUUUGUUUCUGAAUUCACUACAAUGAGUACAAUAUCAUCUACUUCAUGUACUUGCGUGAUAAAACCAUACAUGAACGAGCACAUACAAAAAAGAAAUACACGAUGUUUUACAGAACAAAGAGGGAUAUACUAUCUACUUCGUGUACCAAUUAGGACUAAGCGGGGAAAGUCUCGUUGAAAAACGACUAACAAGAAUUCUCAGAACAACUUUUGCGAGAUUAGUUGGUCCUUCUUUCGACUUUCACUAAGAGUACAUCACAGGUAAGAGAAUAUAUAAUAACGUAUCUGAAUACUGAACUUAGUCUUUAAAACUAAAGACAACAUUAAAGCAUUCAUCAAUUUGCCCUCUGAAAACAACAUUUAACCGGUCUAUUUUUUUGCCAAAACGAUUAAAUGUCAGCUCACUAAAUGUUAACCAAAAGUAAGUUUAAAAAACCGGCAAACUAGAGUACGAAUCUAGGCGCGACCCUCGACCGAAAAGGAACACUAAAAAAAGAGAGACAAUGACCCACGCGAAAACAAAGGGUCGAUCGGGCAAUGACAGGUAGGGAACCCGGGACCGAGAGAGAAAUAGAAAAAAAUAAAACUAAGAACAGGAAAGCGUAAAGGACGCUCUCAACUUCGACUCUUUCCCUCGGCUAAGAACCGCUAAAGGAGCAGUAGGUACCACUAAGGCUAGAGGAGGAGGAGGAGAAGUCGAACUAAAGGCAAGGUCACAGCCCACUAAAGUCAACCAAUAGGACCAGAAGAGGGAAAGGGGGAACUUAAAGCAAAUCCAGAAAACCAAACUAAACUAAGGGGAACAUAAACUAAAUCUACAUCCACAUACAAUCAGCAUCUCCACCUAAAAGGACCGCUGAAAAAACGUCAAUGUCACCAUCAUCGUACCUACAUCGCUACCUAGGCUAAGGGGACAACCAAAAGAAAGACGAUUGGACCCGUAACCUAAGACGACCGGAAAAAACGACAAUCUACGUCCCCACACACAAACAUCCAUCAUCAACGUAGAUUCAAUGUAGUUAUUGACAAGUUAAAGUCACCUUAAAGGUGAGUUUAGUGUCUCAUCACUGUGACGUUAAAGGUCUCAAUUGGUGUUACGUUAAAAACGACAUUGAAGACACUAAAAAUCAAAUGUCGGUGGCGUUAAUGUUACAUUAAAUGCUCAUAAUAUCAAGAUAAAAAUCACAUAAAAAUCCAAUUAAUGUGAUCUAAUGUUACUUUAAAAGUUACGUUAAUUUCAUGAAAAACCACCACCACCACCCCCCCACGGAUACAACCCAGAGGUUCGUAAGAUCUUGGAAAAAGAAACACCAAACAGAAACAACCCAUCAUAAACAUAGUUAGAAUAUUGGGAAAAAAAGAUACAAAAGACAUCACAACGUAGAUUCAGAUGUCGUCGAGGUUCUAACAUUAGAGUAAAAUCAAUGUCACAUUAAAGGAGACUUUAAUGUCUCAUUAGUAUCACAAGAAUGUCACAUAAACAUUAACGUCACAUUAAAAGUACCAUUCAUGUGACAUUUAGGGUGAUGAUACAAUGACAUUAAUGUCACGUUAAAAAGAUAUUAAAUGUCACAACAAUAUCACAUUAAAGGUACCCAUUAGUGUCACGUAAAAAUGAUCUUAUAAAUGUAAUAAAUGUCAGUCACGUUAAUGUACAUUUAUGUCACAUUAAAGUCAUUUUAAUGUUACCAGUAAUCUGACAUUUAGUGUUACAGAUACAAUCCAUCACAACGUAGAUAAGUGCGACAGUUAUAUAUGACUUAGAUAGAAACACAGUCUUUGGAACAACACGUGUACACGAACAGAACUAUUAUCAUUAAAGUCAUAAAAAACAACGAUGACAUUUAAAAUCAAAGAAAACGGGACCACGAAAACUUUGUUUUGUAUGGUCAAAGGAACUAAAAUUGAUCUCACGAGACACGUUAUGUGAGACAGUUUACCUUUCUUAAACACUAGAGAUUAAAAUAAAGAACAUUAAAAUGUACAAGAUCUAGAGUUUCUUUAAGUGCUACGUACUCGUUUCUGUAACAUUAACUUCCUAAAGGUGGGACACCUAGUAGAGAACAUACUAGAACGUACCAAGAGGGGGUUAAUCAUCAGCACUGAAACCGCAAACAGAAACGGGGUUAACCUUAACUUCCUAAAGAUUGAGGUACCAAGAAACAAACACAAACAGAAACGGGAAAGAAAAAUAAAGAGUAAAGGAGGUACAUUCAUGAAAUUAAAAAGGAAAGAACAAACCACAAAUAGAAAUGGUAAAGAAAAAAUAUAGAGUAAAGAAUAUAUAUCUAAAAGAAAUAUAAUAAGACGGAACAACGUCAACACGAAGGGACAUUGGUAAGUUUUCGUAACCAAAAAGAAAGAAGCAAACGAAAGGAUCUAGAUCGAAAGAUACUCGACAGACUUAAAGUGAACGUCUAAUCCUACUACCUUUAAGUCUUAACUAAGAUUAAAGAAUAAACUAGGGAAAAAUGUCUGACACUUAAUUGUUACCACCUCUUCCGAAAAAACGAACUCUCUCUACAACUUGAAGAAAAAAGAGUGAUACCUAUCCCGUCACACAUACAACCAAGUCACACAUCAGUAGAUAUCUUCUCAGUCACACAUACAACCAAGUCGACACAGAGAUAUUAGGCAUCUACUGUACUCCAUGAUAUGAACGUACCAAAAGAAUGAUAUUAAAGUUCCAAAAAGUGGACGAACAGUACUUACGUUCACACAGAUCGGGUUGGCUGUAUGUAUGUAUGUAUUGUUGAGUACUGAACCCCGACGUUUGAGUACUGAACACUGAACCAAGUCGAAACAGAAACUCUAAGACUGUUCAAGACCAGUAUUAUAGUAAUUAUUAGUGUGUUAUUAAAAUCUUCAAGGUC
rnacentral:rRNA from 1 species